rnacentral:lncRNA from 1 species
UUCAAGCAUGCUUGUUUCUCACUAGAACUUGUCUUGGUUUCUCCCUCGAGGUCACAUAGUGUGCUUAAUAACUGUGAGAUGAUAGAAGGCCAUCUUUGCUAGCCCAUAUAUUCCAUACUUGUCCUUUUACUCUAUAUGAUCCUAGUUUCGCCCCUUUGAGCUUUUAUUAUCCAUUUUAUUUGGUUUAGCCGUGGGUGGGAGCUUGGAGUUUGUUGUUAUGGGAUAGUUGGUUUGUGGAGGUGUGUGAUCAUGGUUUAUGAACUUUGUCUUUGAUUGAAAAAAAAUCCUAGUAUCCUACAAGUCUACAAAAAAAAAAAAAAUUGAAAAAAUGGGUACAUAGGAUGCAUUAGAAGGUCAUAACGUCAUGGGAGAUAAUUGUUGUGUUGUGGUGGAUUAUAUAUUGAAAAAUUUUGGUUUUGUGAAAGGUGGAGAUAGAAUUGAGCAAGAAUGCUAUAAGGUUGGUGAUGAUGUUACUUUGAUUUGCAUCUUUGAGUCACUUAGCCAAAC